rnacentral:rRNA from 1 species
AGUGAACGCUGGCGGCAGGCCUAACACAUGCAAGUCGAACGAAGUCUUCGGACUUAGUGGCGGACGGGUGAGUAACACGUGGGAACGUGCCUUUAGGUUCGGAAUAACUCAGGGAAACUUGUGCUAAUACCGAAUGUGCCCUUCGGGGGAAAGAUUUAUCGCCUUUAGAGCGGCCCGCGUCUGAUUAGCUAGUUGGUGAGGUAAAGGCUCACCAAGGCGACGAUCAGUAGCUGGUCUGAGAGGAUGAUCAGCCACAUUGGGACUGAGACACGGACCAAACUCCUACGGGAGGCAGCAGUGGGGAAUUUUGCGCAAUGGGCGAAAGCCUGACGCAGCCAUGCCGCGUGAAUGAUGAAGGUCUUAGGAUUGUAAAAUUCUUUCACCGGGGACGAUAAUGACGGUACCCGGAGAAGAAGCCCCGGCUAACUUCGUGCCAGCAGCCGCCGUAAGAC